rnacentral:antisense_RNA from 1 species
UGUGGGAGCGGGCUUGCUCGCGAUUCAUGCCAUUGAAUGCUGAUGACACACCUUGGUGAUCCCAUCGCGAGCAAGCCCGCUCCCACC